CCUACGGGGGGCUGCAGUGGGGAAUAUUGGACAAUGGGGGAAACCCUGAUCCAGCCAUGCCGCGUGAGUGAAGAAGGCCUUAGGGUUGUAAAGCUCUUUUGCCUGGGAAGAUAAUGACUGUACCAGGAGAAUAAGCCCCGGCUAACUUCGUGCCAGCAGCCGCGGUAAUACGAAGGGGGCUAGCGUUGUUCGGAAUCACUGGGCGUAAAGCGUGCGCAGGCGGAUAGAUUAGUCAGGGGUGAAAUCCCGGGGCUCAACCUCGGAAUUGCCUUUGA
rnacentral:rRNA from 1 species